CGCGUAGGCGGGCAUGUAAGUCAGAUGUGAAAUUUAUGGGCUUAACCCAUAACCUGCAUUUGAAACUACAUGUCUUGAGUGAUGGAGAGGUAAGUGGAAUUCCUAGUGUAGCGGUGGAAUGCGUAGAUAUUAGGAGGAACACCAGUGGCGAAGGCGACUUACUGGACAUUAACUGACGCUGAGGCGCGAAAGCGUGGGGAGCAAACA
rnacentral:rRNA from 1 species